GAGUGCCUGCGUCUGCCAGUCAUUUAGCCCGCGUGUCUACCGCCAGUCAUUUGCCAAGUUCGUUUUCAGACCAACGAAAAGAAAAGCCAUCUGGUUCCAGUACGGAUUGGUGGGACGAGCGUGUCGCCAGAGCUUGUUGCACGUUCUUGAACGUGUCACGCGUUUUACAGGGAAAACUCGACUAGUGACAGCGGAAGAAGAAUUUCCAUGGCCGCGAGGAUCCGCGGUAGAAUUGAAGCCAACCAACCACCGAACGAAC
rnacentral:misc_RNA from 1 species